rnacentral:rRNA from 1 species
UACCAUGCAGUCGAACGGCAGCACGGGAGCAAUCCUGGUGGCGAGUGGCGAACGGGUGAGUAAUACAUCGGAACGUGUCCUGGAGUGGGGGAUAGCCCGGCGAAAGCCGGAUUAAUACCGCAUACGCUCUGAGGAGGAAAGGGGGGGAUCUUAGGACCUCUCGCUCAAGGGGCGGCCGAUGGCAGAUUAGCUAGUUGGUGGGGUAAAGGCCUACCAAGGCGACGAUCUGUAGCUGGUCUGAGAGGACGACCAGCCACACUGGGACUGAGACACGGCCCAGACUCCUACGGGAGGCAGCAGUGGGGAAUUUUGGACAAUGGGCGCAAGCCUGAUCCAGCAAUGCCGCGUGUGUGAAGAAGGCCUUCGGGUUGUAAAGCACUUUUGUCCGGAAAGAAAACACGCCUGUUAAUACCGGGUGUGGAUGACGGUACCGGAAGAAUAAGCACCGGCUAACUACGUGCCAGCAGCCGCGGUAAUACGUAGGGUGCAAGCGUUAAUCGGAAUUACUGGGCGUAAAGCGUGCGCAGGCGGUUCGUUAAGACAGAUGUGAAAUCCCCGGGCUUAACCUGGGAACUGCAUUUGUGACUGGCGGACUCGAGUAUGGCAGAGGGGGGUAGAAUUCCACGUGUAGCAGUGAAAUGCGUAGAGAUGUGGAGGAAUACCGAUGGCGAAGGCAGCCCCCUGGGCCAAUACUGACGCUCAUGCACGAAAGCGUGGGGAGCAAACAGGAUUAGAUACCCUGGUAGUCCACGCCCUAAACGAUGUCAACUGGUUGUCGGGUCUUCAUUGACUUGGUAACGAAGCUAACGCGUGAAGUUGACCGCCUGGGGAGUACGGUCGCAAGAUUAAAACUCAAGAAA